rnacentral:rRNA from 1 species
CCAGACUCCUACGGGAGGCAGCAGUGAGGAAUAUUGGUCAAUGGGCGGGAGCCUGAACCAGCCAAGUCGCGUGAGGGAAGACGGUCCUACGGAUUGUAAACCUCUUUUGCCGGGGAGCAACGGGGUCCUUGCGAGGGCCCGAUGAGAGUACCCGGAGAAAAAGCAUCGGCUAACUCCGUGCCAGCAGCCGCGGUAAUACGGAGGAUGCGAGCGUUAUCCGGAUUUAUUGGGUUUAAAGGGUGCGUAGGCGGGCUGUUAAGUCAGCGGUCAAAUGUCGGGGCUCAACCCCGGCCUGCCGUUGAAACUGGCGGCCUCGAGUGGGCGAGAAGUAUGCGGAAUGCGUGGUGUAGCGGUGAAAUGCAUAGAUAUCACGCAGAACUCCGAUUGCGAAGGCAGCAUACCGGCGCCCGACUGACGCUGAGGCACGAAAGCGUGGGUAUCGAACAGGAUUAGAUACCCCAGUA